CUGCCAUGGGCAGGGACACCUCCCACCAGACCAGGUUGCCCAAAGCCCCAUCCAGCCUGGCCUUGAGCACCUCCAGGGAUGGGGCACCCACAGCUGCUCUGGGCAGCCUGUGCCAGGGCCUUAACGCCCUCACAGUAAAGAAUUUCUUCCUAAUAUCUAAUUUAAUCUCCCCUCUUUUAGUUCAAAACCAUUCCUCCUUGUCUUGUCAUUAUCUAACUGAGCAAAAAGUUGCUCUCCAUCUUUUCUUUAAGCCUCCUUUAAGUACUGGAAAGCUGCAAUAAGGUCACCCUGGAGCUUUCUCUUCUUCAGGCUGAACAGCCCCAGCUCUCUCAACCUUUCUUCAUAUGAUAAAAUUCUCUCUAUAUUAAUUCAGCAAAUUGUGAUGGUUGUUGCUGUGGAUCCACUGAAUAAAUAAUCUUAAUGUACCGCUAUCCUGAUCUGCUGGAGGACUGCAAAGGAAUCCAAAUCUAACAGUGAGCCUGCCUCCAAAUUUGCAUCUCUAUCCGCAGUUAUAGGUAAGAGCAUUUUUGAGUGGAGUUAUAAGCAAAGGAGCUACUGCAAGAUGUCCAGAAACCAGUGGGUUGCCUGGCAGACCAAAGCAAGUUUGGUGCUGGGAGGGCAGUGUCUCUAGGAGAGGAAGAAGCUGUCUAUUCCCCUGCCCUGGUCCCCAGCCAAGAAGAGCACCUGGACAUCUAACGAAGGCUGGCAGCUGGGAGGACAAGUGUGGGGCCAAUAUAGCCUGCUUGUGAGGCCAUUAAAAAGCAGCUGGGUGUGAAAAGAUAGACCUGUGAUGCUGCCAAGUUCAGCCAGACCAGUGGCAUGAUGAGCUUCCCAGUUGGUAAUCUGUGCAUUACUGCAGAGCUGCAUGUGGAGGCUUUGCCAUUUUUUCCCAACAUAUUGAGCCAUUACAGACGCAGCUCACCUGGACUAGCCCAUAGAUGGAAAGGCAUCCCAGCUUCAGGAGUGAACUUCCACUUCUGCCCUUGCAAACAGAGGUUAGUACUGCUUUUUUUUUUCCUAUUUUUUUCCCUACUGUUCCAGUUUACAGCCCACUUAAGAGCAGGAGGUCAUUUUUUUGAGAACUACCCCCACGCUAAGACUGGCGUGAGCAGAGGUAAAAUAAAGAGAGGAAUUUUCUUUAUCACGCAACUAACUUUUUGCUCUGUUUCAAUUUUCCUUUUUAUUCCUGUGCUUAUUUCUCCAUUACAUUUUCAUUCACUUUUUUCCACAUUUUGUGUUUCUCCUCACCUUUCCUUCCCACCUGUGUAGCAGUGGGUGGUGGAUUUCCAGGUAAAACGUCUUUCCCUCAACUUGAACGUAAGUGACCACGGGCUCCUCUUGGUUCAGAUAUGUGCUUUAAGGUUAGGCUAGAGCAGAUGCUGGUUCCUCAUGGGAGGUCAGGAUUUCAGCAUCCCUCUGCUUUGCUUGAGCAGGCUGUUGGUGAGGAAGAGGGAAUCUGCAGCAGUUGAAGAGCAAGAGGUGGUGCUGUUGUGCUCAUGGCACACAGCUGGAGAGCCGGCUAUACUGCCACAGGGACAACAUGGAAAGACUUUUUGGCAUGGUGGCUCACCUUAAAGUGCCUGAAGUCGACCUGUCCAAUCAUCCAGCAUCUAGCCUUUUUAUUUGUUCUUGUUGCUCAUUUUACCUCCAAUAUAUUCUGAUAAACAAAAGAAAUGACAGUGGCAGACAAGGUUCUACACUGAAAUUAAACACAGCUGAUCUUUAUGUGUAGGCUCACACAAAGUAACUUUCGCCCCUUGCCCACGAAGCUGCAGAAACAGCAGGAAGUCUGGCUGAAUCUGAGUAGCAGCAAUCCAAGGGGUAAAAAGAACAGCAAACCACUCACAAAUAAAACUUCCUUCCCUUGUACCUUGGGGAAGGAA
rnacentral:lncRNA from 1 species